rnacentral:lncRNA from 1 species
UUUAUCAUGUUUCAUGCAUAAUGAUUAUGCAAUAGGAUGAUUGCAUUAGUUUCACGAAUAUGCCGCAUUGCAUCAUUUGUUGUUGAUGUGGGUGAAUGUUGGAUGACCCAAUUAGUCCAUGACAGGAAGACCAGGACCCCAUUCUACGGCCUGGCACGGAAAUGAAAGACCAGGACCCCAUUCUACGGCCUGGCACGAUUGUGGAC